AAAUUAGAGUGCGAAAACUUAAAGUAUUCGGACGACGACGACAAUGACGACGCAGACGACGACGCCAACAUCAUACCAAUAUACAACCAAAAAAUUUUCAAUUUUUGGGGUAGUAUAAAAAAUGCAUUAUCGUCAUUUUUCUGAUAUUUACACAAUUUUUAAAAUGACCUACAGUUUGAAAUGUGAAGUACACCUUCAAUUCUGAAUGAUUCAUAUAACUUUAAUAAGCUAGUCCUUUUUUGUCUUUUCCAUGUAAAGAAAAAGAAAAAAUAACUCUACCCAAAAAGCAUACAAAAAAUGAAAGCAAUGUUUGAAAUCAAAACAUUCCAUUAAUAUCUAUUUAGAAGUAAUAUCCUAUUAUAUAAGAAGUAGAUAUAAGAAGGUGUGCUAUGAGUGCCAAUGAGACAACUCUCCAUCAAAGUCACAGUUUGUAAAAGUAGACAAUUAUAGGUCAAAAAAUGGUCUUCAACAUGGAUAGGUUUACCUCAGGUAACAGCUAUGGCUUUUUUUAAAAAGAAUAAUCAACUAUUUAUGAAAUGCACAGGAAUCAGAAUUUUGCAUAGAUAUACAAAUAUGAAAUCGCUGUUGCAUAUAUUUACAUGUAUCACAUAAUGAACUAAAAGAUUUCCCCAAUAUGGGAAUGCAUAUUCUGUAACAAAAAGUUUACAACCGUAACUGAUAAUAAAGCAAAUAAUAGCACUAAACGAACCUA
rnacentral:lncRNA from 1 species